rnacentral:rRNA from 1 species
AUUGAACGCUGGCGGCAGGCCUAACACAUGCAAGUCGAGCGGUAGAGAGGUGCUUGCAUCUCUUGAGAGCGGCGGACGGGUGAGUAAUGCCUAGGAAUCUGCCUAGUGUGGGGGAUAACGUUCGGAAACGGACGCUAAUACCGCAUACGUCCUACGGGAGAAAGCGGGGGAUCUUCGGACCUCGCGCCAUUAGAUGAGCCUAGGUCGGAUUAGCUAGUUGGUGAGGUAAUGGCUCACCAAGGCGACGAUCCGUAACUGGUCUGAGAGGAUGAUCAGUCACA